rnacentral:lncRNA from 1 species
GUCUUGUAAUCAAGAUCAAGAGUAUAGAUCUUGUUUUAAAUAGUUUAAAGAAUUUUCUAACAAAAGUUCAAUUGAUUUGGAUAUCUUUACGCCGUUAAACGAGAAAACGCCUCUUAUCGACCAUUAAAAUUACAAAUUUUGAAACCCUUUGAUCAUUAGGCAAAUGAUGUCGAAAUGAUUUGAAAUUUGAUUUCUAAACACUUCAAGUGGUAUAGAUCAUGUUCAACGGAGCCGAUCGUCAAUUUGGAAGCUCUAUUAUCGCAAACAAAUCGGUAGUAAAACGGCUCGUUUACUACCGAUAGUAUU